CAGUCGCCACGGUAAUACGUAGAGUGCGAGCGUUAAUCGGAAUUACUGGGCGUAAAGCGUGCGCAGGCGGUUGUGUAAGACAGGUGUGAAAUCCCCGGGCUUAACCUGGGAACUGCGCUUGUGACUGCACAGCUAGAGUAUGGCAGAGGGGGGUGGAAUUCCACGUGUAGCAGUGAAAUGCGUAGAGAUGUGGAGGAACACCGAUGGCGAAGGCAGCCCCCUGGGCCAAUACUGACGCUCAUGCACGAAAGCGUGGGGAGCAAACAGGAUUAGAUACCCGAGUAGUCCCUGUCUCUUAUAA
rnacentral:rRNA from 1 species